GAGAGAACUCAAGCACUCGUCAGUGUGUCGAUACGUAUGGGAUUGUAUUAUACGAUCUGUAUGCACUAUCGCAACCAGACCGAAAGACCCAUGGUUAUGUAUUCAGUUGCAACCCGUCCUCCGUUCGUGUCACACUGGCUUUCAAAUUCCUGUCGCUACAAUUCGAUAUCCUCAGUUUGUUUGACACCACCAUCGGCAACAGUUGCACUAAAUCCCAAAAGUAAGAUUCCGCCGAGAUUUUCCUAAUCAGCUUGUGCAUUUCGAUAAUCGUGUACCACGCGGCAUAGCGCUGCGCGGUGCUUUGUGCUCGAGUAAUAAUUUCUUUUUUUUUUCUUCUUUGGACAAUUUACUGCUUGUGUGAAUAUUGAGAAGGUGAAAUUGAGAGAUUGUUAGUUGAGAAUAAUUGUUUCACAUGAAAAUAUUCUCCUGUGAAAUUUUUGCCAGAGACAUAAAGUGAGACACAAAAAAAGAGGGAAGUUUCAUUCCUUCUACUUUUAAUAAAAUAUUGACUGAAUUAAAUGUACCACCCCAUGGUGUUGAUUGAACUGAAGUGUAAAGCAGAAAAUGUUGAUUAAUUGCCUGUAGUACCGCAAUCUUGUCGUUCAUUGGCGAAUCUUCGCGCAAUGGUCAUCAGAAAUAAACUCAAGUCCUAAAGCAUUAUAUUGGCAUAACGUCUGAAUCUGACGAAGAAAGAAAAAAAAACUAUAAAUACUCCAUUAGUUCAUUUGAUUGUGAAGGUGAAUUUAUUAAAUGUCUUCUUUGAUUGCAACAUUGGCGCACUUUCUUACCCAAGAGAGCUUCUCAACUGAGAAGAACCUGGGGUAGUCGGUUGCAUGUGCACUAAACUUAUAUGCCAACAAUUGUAUACAUUUUUGUGACUUGUUGCUUGCAACGAAGUACAUAAAUACAGUGGAAGUGGCAAUUAUAUAGGCACUUUUAUCAUAUAGCUCUCACCACGAAAAAAAAAAACAAUAUAGCAGAGGAGGUAGACUUCUUAGCUUGGUAUUGAGAAAAAAGUUUGAGUUUGUGUAGAAUUGCAAGCUUUCGACCUGUUACUAUCAAGACUAUAUUUAUUAUUAUUGAAUUGUGCAAACUUUGUGCAGAAAACGUGCCAUCUGCAAGAGACUCACAGAGGUAAAAUCUCUUCCGUGAUCCACAUCAGUGACGAUUAAUGAUUCUAUCUUAGAAGAUUAUCAUACUGACUUCUACAUAAGAUUGAUCCAUUUAAACUGUUCAAGACAUACCUUAAGUUUUGAUCAAACACCUAUCUCCUACAAAGUGUUGGGGUCUUCAAUCAUAUCGCAUUUGAAAUCCCUGCCCUCGAGACAUUUGGCCAGAAAGUCCUGUCGUUAAUUGACGAUAUUUUCUUGGGUUAUACAGAGUUAUGCCAGAAGACAAUCCGUGAGAAGGAAAUGAGAGAAAGAAGUGGCAAAAAGUGAUGAAUGUUUGCCUUUGGUUGGGAUAACUUCGGCAGAUGUAAAAGACCUGUAAAAUUACAAAAAAAAGAGAGAAUUCAAAGACAUUAAAACUUUUGAUCAGUGACUAUUGCAAUUUCUGUAACAUUGUGUGCAAAAAGUGACUAAAUUCUCUGUAUAUCUAGACUAAGUGUCAGUCUUCGGUUAAAAGUUCAAUUAAGUGGGACGCUGUUGAUGGUGUCGGAGCACAAUACGUGGAGCGACGUGAUGUCCAAUUCGGACCUCACAGACUCGAAAAACGAGUUGUGCGGAGGAGCCUCGAGCUCCAGCGGCAACUCAUUGAGCCCGAGGACGCCACCAAAUUGCGCCCGCUGCCGCAAUCACGGCCUCAAGAUAGCCCUUAAGGGUCACAAACGCUACUGCAAGUACCGUUACUGCAACUGCGAAAAGUGUCGUCUAACGGCCGAACGUCAGCGGGUGAUGGCCUUGCAGACGGCCCUAAGACGUGCUCAGGCUCAGGACGAGGCACGUCAGAUCUCCGCGGAUGAGGUGCCACCGACGCCACCGCCAGCCCCGUCCAUUUGCACCCUUGCCACUCCUAAGAGUCAGUGCGAUAGCGAACCACCGGCACCCAUUACAGUGCCCACACCGGCACGUUCCCUAGAGGGUUCCUGCCACUCAUCAUCGGCCACACCCUGUUCUGCUUCCGGAGAACCCAUCUCCGUGCCAUCCAGCCGCAAAUUGGCCCCAGUCAAUCCAACCAUCAGAAAUCCAACUGCAAGUCAAAGCUCCGAAGUCUUCUUUGACAAUUGCCAGAAAUUGCUGGACAAAUUCAAUUAUCCUUGGGAACUGAUGCCCCUAAUGUAUGUGAUCUUGGAAAAUGCCCCGGACGUGAGGGAAGCGGCACGGAGAAUUGAAGAAGGUCAAUGCGUUGUGAAUGAGUAUACUCGAAUGCAUAAUCUCAAUAUGUAUGAUGGAGCCGAAUUGAGGGGCUCCACCCGGCAAUGCGGAUGAUAAUUUACUGCCAGCAGUUUCAUAUGUUAGUAAAAAAAAAAACAAACGUUCAUCAAUCAACAUUGAGAUAAUAUGCAAAUGUUGGCACUCGUACACACCUAAGUUCAAACUAAGAUAUAUCGUAACUUAACCCAAGAAAUGCGUAUUUGAAAGAAAGAUCAACCCCGUUAAGCUUACACAAAACUCUUCUAUUGAUUAGAUUUACUAAUUAAUUGUAGAUGUACAUAAUAUGAGUACGGCCACUUCUUUUCAUUCUUUUUAUAUAUUUAGUAAUUAAUAUUGUUUAAAACUUCUUGGAGUGCGCAUUUUUAAUUGCUUAAAAAGAAUAUUUGUGGAUAAUUAUUGUUUUAAAUGAUUAUUUAUGAUUGUUCGCGGUAGUGGCUAUUGGUGUUAAAGUGAUUCUUCAAUCAACAUUUUCUUCAAUCAACAUUUCUUCAAUCAACACCUUCAAUCAACAAAUCUGCAUUGAAAACAAAAAAAUCAAGCUCAAAAAUCACAAAACAUAUCUUCCAUAAUUUUUGACUCAAUUAUAAUGAUGUUUUAUUGGCGGGAAAUGCCAAAAGGACCCACUUAAAUCAGACUCUCAAGAGAGAAGAAAAUCAAUCAACCAUUUGGAUUUAGCCACAAUCUUAACAGUACAUCCAUUCACAAUGUGAGAAAUGGGCAGCGUUUCAUCAAAUUGACAACAAUAUAGAAGUGGAUGCCAGAAGAUUGCAACAGCGUUAAAAAAAAGUGGAACAACAGCAAAAAAGUGCAAGGAGAAAACACAUUAAUGUUCAAAGGCGAAUGCAUCUUCAUCGUGUCUUUGUGACAUGGCAAUGAAUGAGGAACCAACCGAAAGCAUCAACUGCAGAAGAUUCUCUUUUUUUCUCAGCAUCUUGUGCAAAAAAAAAUUUUUUAUGACUAAUAACUCUUCAACGUCACAAAGACAUGGAAUAUUGCUACAAACUCUCCUUAAGUUGCCACUCGCAGUCAAAAUGCUCCUUCACAAUGAGGCUAUCAUUCAUUUUAACAGUAUAACUGAAAGGCUCAACAAUGGACUGAGAGCUGCGAGUAUAAUAAAAUGUCGAUAUGGACAUGGACUCCCAAUCCCAGCACACCAGUACUACACAUACCUAUCUACGGCGGCAGCUACAAGUCCCUUCCUAUAUAACUUCUAUAACGAGACAGUACUGUCGCCGCAUUUGCACAGCAAGUACCUCAAUUCGGAAAGUACUCCUGCGGUACGGAAUAUAUCGGAAUCUCCGUCAGCCUAUUCAUCUCUGCCACUUCCUGCCGCUCUACAAAUUACUCGUCUGAUACCAACGAGUAGCUUAUCUGGUGCAUCGACGUAGCGAUGUAUACUCUAUGUGAUUCAACUAAUAGUGAUUGUGCUCCAAUUUCCACUGUCGAUUAGGACAGCAAGGCAAUGUGACAAAUCCAUUUACCAAUGGUGCGCGUACAGAUUUCUGAUUGGAAUCUAAAUCAAGAUAAGGAAGAAAACAACAGAGCUGCAAAAAAAAUUAGCAAAUGGACAAAUCUCAAAAUCCUUCCAUAGAUACCUCCUCAGUACAUCCAGAAUUGUUCUCAUUAGACAAAGAGAGUGGAAAGUUUAAUUGGAAAAAUUCAAAUGAGGACCUUACCUUUCUGUACUGAAUGGAAUCUAUCGAACAAAACACAGUUCUAACUUUUUUUUAACGUGAAGUUGGUGAAAAUAUUCGUCCAAGGUUCUCAUUAAAUCUCCUGUAUUCGUCCAGAAUCCGUCGCCAGUCAUCAGAGUUCUAAUUAUUUUCACUUAACUUUAUUUUGUGAUGAAUAAAAAAAACUGAAUAAAGCACUAAGGAAGAUGUUUUAUUGUGAUUUAAUCUGUAUGGAAAUAUUGCAGAAUAAUCUAUUUUAGGGACGUGUGAUUGAAAUGAGAAUAAUUUUUCAAAUAAAGCUUUAAUUAAACUUUUUUAAAUAAUAAAGUUGAACUGUGUAAAAGAUAAAAAAAAUACGACAAAGUUUUUCAAAUAUUUUUUGAUAUUAUAGGUUUAUGCAAAAACAAUUUCCAUUGUCAAUGUUUGAAAUGUUUUUUUUUUAUUAAAUUUAUGAAAUACAAUUUAAGAAGAAAAUUUUGUGAUUUUUUAAACAAGAAAAAUUGGUUUUGAAACGUUUGAAAGUAAAUUGAAAAAUGCCAUCCGAAAUUAACAUUUAUACAAAUAUAAAAAUUUGUGAAAAUAAAAUAUUAACUAUAUAUACACAAAAUCAGCAUUGAACAGAGAGUCAAAAAUAUUGAAAACAAAAAAUAAAAAGUGAGAGAAGAAUUAUAUUUAAUUACCAAGAAACGCCAACGAAUUUAUUAAUGAUAUUACUACCGUAUGAUUGUAAUAAAUAUUAAUAGUGUUGUGUGAUGUUGCUGCAAAAGCGACAAAUUUACUGUGAAUUUUUUUGUGCACACAGAGAAUAAAAUUACAUAAUUAAAUUGUUAAAUUAAAUAAUUUUUAAAGAGGAUAUUGAGCAGAACUUGCACAGAGGAAAUAUAACGCAAUUGCGUACCUAAUUUAAUGUCACAACCUUUUUUACUGCAUAUGAUUUUCAAAGAGUUCUCACUGUGUAUAAAAUUAAUUUUUGAGAAUAUUAAAAAAGAAAAUAUGCAUAAUAAUUAUUGAAUAAUAAAAAAACAAAACUUAUAAAAUAUGUAUUUAAAAUAUUAAAUGUAUGUUCUACAAAUUAAAUAACUGUAGGCGUAAUUAACUAUGCUGAUGGCCGUUAUAUUAAUAAUUACAAGCUAUUAAAAAAAAUCCAAUACAUUAACAUUAGAAAGAAAAAUCAGAGUAAAAGAAAUCUGCAAUAUUUUUCAGCGUUUGUUUUGCCUUUCUCAUUACUCGGACAAGGGCUUGUAGAAUUGAGCUAAAAAGCAAAUCUAAUGCAUCUUGUAGAAAAAACUACAGAGAUUUAUCAGCUGUAAUUUAAAAAAAAUUAGAAUUCAACAAUAAAAAUCAAUCCCAUAGUUAAUAGAAAUUAAAAAUACUAAAAUUUUAGAUUGAUGAUGCAAAAAAAUCAAUUAGAUUUAUUGGUGUAAAGAAGCUAAAUAUUUCUUGAUCUCCUGGCAUCUAUCAAAUAUUACAGAGAGAGUGCAAGGAUGCUUUUUUUUUCAAAGAUGAAUCAGUGGUUUCAGGACACGUUGGUUUUCAAGUGAUAAAAGCAAGAAUUGUACCACAAAGACUGACCCAGUCGUAGAUGGUAAUUGAACUCAGACAAUGGUUUCAGAAGACAGAUUUUUUGUGAAUGAGAAUGAAGAGCAAGAAUGUUGGAAAUCCGUUAAGAAUCCUCACAGGAAUAGUUAAGCAAAGGAGGAUAUAAUUCUCUGUCCAGUAUUUCUUAGGAUGUGUUUUUUUUUUUGGCAAACUCCAAAUAGUCACGGAGAUGCUCAAAUCUGUAGAAAUUUCUAAUCUCCUAAGUGUUUGCAGAAGUAAUUGUAUGUAAUAUGUACACAGAGGAAUAAAAAAUAUCUCCAACUCUUAAAA